GUCAGCAUGGUGUAGUGGUUUGAGUGUUGGGCUAUGACUCUGGAGACAAGAGUUCAAAUCCCUAUUCUGCCA